rnacentral:rRNA from 1 species
AGGACGAACGCUGGCGGCGUGCUUAACACAUGCAAGUGGAGCGACGAACCAGGGCUUGCCCUGGGGCAGAGCCGCGAACGGGUGAGUAACACGUGGGUUACCUGCCUUGAUGACCGGGACAACCCGAGGAAACUCGGGCUAAUACCGGAUGUGCCCGCAAGGGGAAAGGAAGCUUCGGCCUCCGCAUCAAGAUGGGCCCGCGGCCCAUUAGCUAGUUGGUGAGGUAACGGCUCACCAAGGCUUCGAUGGGUAGCUGGUCUGAGAGGACGAUCAGCCACACUGGGACUGAGACACGGCCCAGACUCCUACGGGAGGCAGCAGUGGGGAAUCUUGCGCAAUGCGCGAAAGCGUGACGCAGCAACGCCGCGUGGGGGAAGAAGGCUUUCGGGUUGUAAACCCCUUUCAGUUGGGACGAAGCUUCUCCGGUGAAUAGCCGGACGGAGUGACGGUACCUUCACAAGAGCACCGGCUAACUACGUGCCAGCAGCCGC